GACGAACGCUGGCGGCGUGCCUAAUACAUGCAAGUCGAACGCACAGUUUAUACCGUCCCUUGCUACACCCUAACCUGUGAGUUACGAACGGGUGAUUAACCCCUAGGUCACCUGUCUGGUAGCGGGGGACAACUAUUGACAACGAUAACUAAUACCGCCUGAUAUUGAUUAUUGCGUGAUAAUUGAUUUAUAGAUACUAUUUCAUCCCUACCUGAUGCUCCUGCGCUGUAUCAGCUAGUAGGUGAGGUAACAGCUCACCUAGGCGACGAUACAUAGCCGACCUGAGAGGAUGAUCGGCCACACUGGGACUGAGACACGGCCCAGACUCCUACGGGAGGCAGCAGUAGGGAAUCUUGGGCAAUGGACGAAAGUCUGACCGAGCAACGCCGCGUGAGUGAAGAAGGUUUUCGGGUCGUAAAGCUCUGUUGUGAGAGAAGAACGGGUGUGGGGGUGGAAAGUUCAGACUGUGACGGUACCUUACAAGAAAGCGACGGCUAACUACGUG
rnacentral:rRNA from 1 species